GGGGUUGUGGCUCAGUGGUAGAGCACUUGCCUAGCAUGUGUCAGGCCUUGGGUUCUAUUCUCAGCAUCCACA
rnacentral:tRNA from 1 species